ACCUGAAUUUUAGCUUCCUUGGAAAUUAUACAAGACACUUCUAAACACUCCAUGGGCCAAAAACGAAAUCUCAAAGGAAAUGAAAAAUCCACAGAAUUGAAUGAAUACGAAAACACAACAUA